AUGAAGCUCGUAGUUCAGGCUGCAGCACUGAUGGCUGUGAUUCAGACAUGGCUCAUGUUGAUGCACAGGAGAGCUAUUCGUUGUGGUGAGAGGCAUGUCAUCAAUUAUGGUCCAAUGUUUAUCCGAGAUCAUGAAAGGAUGGCGAAUCUGAACUACAUAUACAACUAUAAGGACAUAGAGACUCUAUGGAUGCUUCGAAUGAAAAGAGCACCAUUUGUCAGGCUUGUGUAGACCUUCAGGAGCGGGCUGCUAGAAAAUAGCAUCCACACUAGUGUGGAAGAGCAAGUAGCCAUGUUCCUCCAUGCUAUUGGUCAUAACAAGAGGUUCAAGGUUAUGCACAACACCUUCAGGAGAUCAAUGGAGACCAUCUCGUGGUACUUCAGGCAAGUGUUGUAUGCUGUUGGGGAACUCAGAGGAGAGAUGAUCGUGUCACCAACCGGCCAGACUCCUACCACAAUUCGCACUAUCCCAAGAUGCUAUCCAUACUUCAAGGUGAGCACUAAUAGUAUGUAG
rnacentral:rRNA from 1 species